rnacentral:rRNA from 1 species
GCGACAGGCUUAACACAUGCAAGUCGAGGGGCAGCACAGGUAGCAAUACCGGGUGGCGACCGGCGCACGGGUGAGUAACGCGUAUGCAACUUACCUAUCAGAGGGGGAUAACCCGGCGAAAGUCGGACUAAUACCGCAUGAAGCAGGGGCCCCGCAUGGGGAUAUUUGCUAAAGAUUCAUCGCUGAUAGAUAGGCAUGCGUUCCAUUAGGCAGUUGGCGGGGUAACGGCCCACCAAACCGACGAUGGAUAGGGGUUCUGAGAGGAAGGUCCCCCACAUUGGUACUGAGACACGGACCAAACUCCUACGGGAGGCAGCAGUGAGGAAUAUUGGUCAAUGGCCGAGAGGCUGAACCAGCCAAGUCGCGUGAGGGAUGAAGGUUCUAUGGAUCGUAAACCUCUUUUAUAAGGGAAUAAAGUGCGGGACGUGUCCCGUUUUGUAUGUACCUUAUGAAUAAGGAUCGGCUAACUCCGUGCCAGCAGCCGCGGUAAUACGGAGGAUCCGAGCGUUAUCCGGAUUUAUUGGGUUUAAAGGGUGCGUAGGCGGCCUUUUAAGUCAGCGGUGAAAGUCUGUGGCUCAACCAUAGAAUUGCCGUUGAAACUGGGGGGCUUGAGUAUGUUUGAGGCAGGCGGAAUGCGUGGUGUAGCGGUGAAAUGCAUAGAUAUCACGCAGAACCCCGAUUGCGAAGGCAGCCUGCCAAGCCAUGACUGACGCUGAUGCACGAAAGCGUGGGGAUCAAACAGGAUUAGAUACCCUGGUAGUCCACGCAGUAAACGAUGAUCACUAGCUGUUUGCGAUACACAGUAAGCGGCACAGCGAAAGCGUUAAGUGAUCCACCUGGGGAGUACGCCGGCAACGGUGAAACUCAAAGGAAUUGACGGGGGCCCGCACAAGCGGAGGAACAUGUGGUUUAAUUCGGUGAUACGCGAGGAACCUUACCCGGGUUUGAACGCAUUCGGACCGAGGUGGAAACACCUUUUCUAGCAAUAGCCGUUUGCGAGGUGCUGCAUGGUUGUCGUCAGCUCGUGCCGUGAGGUGUCGGCUUAAGUGCCAUAACGAGCGCAACCCUUGCCACUAGUUACUAACAGGUAAAGCUGAGGACUCUGGUGGGACUGCCAGCGUAAGCUGCGAGGAAGGCGGGGAUGACGUCAAAUCAGCACGGCCCUUACAUCCGGGGCGACACACGUGUUACAAUGGCGUGGACAAAGGGAGGCCACCUGGCGACAGGGAGCGAAUCCCCAAACCACGUCUCAGUUCGGAUCGGAGUCUGCAACCCGACUCCGUGAAGCUGGAUUCGCUAGUAAUCGCGCAUCAGCCAUGGCGCGGUGAAUACGUUCCCGGGCCUUGUACACACCGCCCGUCAAGCCAUGGGAGCCGGGGGUACCUGAAGUCCGUAACCGCGAGGAUCGGCCUAGGGUAAAACUGGUGACUGGGGCUA